rnacentral:rRNA from 1 species
AAUGAACGUUGGCGGCAUGGAUUAGGCAUGCAAGUCGGGGGAAUCCCAGCAAUGGGGGAACCGGCGUAAGGGGCAGUAAGGCAUGGGUACCUACCUUGGGGUUCGGGAUAGCCAUCAGAGAUGGUGGGUAAUACCGGAUGACGUCGUGAGACCAAAGAUUUAUCGCCCUUAGAGGGGCCCAUGUGAUAUUAGCUAGUGGGUGGGGUAACGGCCCACCAAGGCGAAGAUGUCUAGCGGGUGUGAGAGCACGACCCGCGCCACUCGGACUGAGACACUGGCGAGAGACCUACGGGUGGCUGCAGUCGAGGAUCUUCGGCAAUGAGCGCAAGCUUGACCGAGCGAUGCCGCGUGAGCGAUGAAGGCCUUCGGGUUGUAAAGCUCUUUAGUGGGGGAGAAAAGCCGCAAGGUGUGAUCUAUCCCAAAAAUAAGCACGGGCUAAGUUCGUGCCAGCCGCCGCGGUAA